CAUUGCUCUCGAGUACUCAUCUUCAACAUCUUAUGCUUCCAGGGAAGAUACCGUAUCUGCCUGAGGAACAGAUAGAGCAAGUGAGAAGGAUACAAGGAAGCAUGUGGAGACAAGCGUAACAACACACGUGCCGAUACAUCCACUACUCUGUCAAAAGCAAAAGUAUCCCAUAUCAGCAGGGUCGAACGUACUCUAGAUUUGAUGGACUUGUUUUGACCCUCAAAUUUUUCAGUCGGCCUUAUACUCUGGAGGAAACCAAAAAACCCUCCAGCCCGGUUCAAGAAUAAGCCUGUGGAAAGUUACUUCUUCAAAAGCAAA
rnacentral:lncRNA from 1 species